AGAGUUUGAUCAUGGCUCAGAACGAACGCUGGCGGCAGGCUUAACACAUGCAAGUUGAACGGGAUUUGCUAAGUGCUUGCACGGAGCAAUGAGAGUAGCGCACUGGUGAGUAGCACGUGGGAACAUGCCUUUUGGUGGGGGACAACAGAGGGAAACUUCUGCUAAUACCGCAUAAGCCCUAAGGGGGAAAGAUUAAUUGCCGAAAGAUUGGCCCGCGGAAGAUUAGGUAGUUGGUGGGGUAAAGGCCUACCAAGCCGACGAUCUAUAGCUGGUCUGAGAGGACGAACAGCCACAUUGGAACUGAGACACGGUCCAGACUCCUACGGGAGGCAGCAGUGAGGAAUAUUGGGCAAUGGAGGAAACUCUGAACCCCCAGCCAUGCCGCGUGAGUGAAGAAGGUUUUCGAAUUGUAAAGCUCUUUCGGAUACGAGGAUGAUGACGGUAGUAUCUAAAGAAGCCCCGGCAAACUUCGUGCCAGCCGCAGC
rnacentral:rRNA from 1 species